AUACGGCUAUAUCCCGUUGAAACGUCCGUCCUUAUCCGAUCACUGACGUUAAGCAACGGUGAGCCUGGUCAGUACCUAGAUAGGUGACCGUUUGGGAAUACCAGAUGCUGUAA